CCUACGGGAGGCAGCAGUGGGGAAUUUUGGACAAUGGGCGCAAGCCUGAUCCAGCAAUGCCGCGUGCAGGAUGAAGGCCUUCGGGUUGUAAACUGCUUUUGUACGGAACGAAAAAGUCUGCCCUAAUACGGUGGGCCCAUGACGGUACCGUAAGAAUAAGCACCGGCUAACUACGUGCCAGCAGCCGCGGUAAUACGUAGGGUGCGAGCGUUAAUCGGAAUUACUGGGCGUAAAGCGUGCGCAGGCGGUUAUAUAAGACAGAUGUGAAAUCCCCGGGCUCAACCUGGGACCUGCAUUUGUGACUGUAUAGCUAGAGUACGGUAGAGGGGGAUGGAAUUCCGCGUGUAGCAGUGAAAUGCGUAGAUAUGCGGAGGAACACCGAUGGCGAAGGCAAUCCCCUGGACCUGUACUGACGCUCAUGCACGAAAGCGUGGGGAGCAAACAGGAUUAGAUACCCUGGUAGUCCACGCCCUAAACGAUGUCAACUGGUUGUUGGGUCUUCACUGACUCAGUAACGAAGCUAACGCGUGAAGUUGACCGCCUGGGGAGUACGGCCGCAAGGUUGAAACUCAAAUGAAUUGACG
rnacentral:rRNA from 1 species